AUGCCACUCUCCAGUCUGCUCUGGGUGCUCCUGGCCUGCAUCUUCUCUGGAUCUGGUGUGGCCCAGAAAGUUACUCAAGACCAGCCAGACUUAACCCGUCAAGUGGAGCAGUCAGUCACUCUGAACUGUCAGUAUGAAGUAAGUUGGUACAUGGACUACUACUCCAUUUUUUGGUACAAGCAGCUUCCCAGGGGACAGAUGACUUACCUCAUUCGUCAGUAUUCAGAAGAUGGGAAUGCAAGGGACGGCCGCUACUCUGUAAACUUCCAGAAAGCAGAUAAGUCCAUCAGCCUCACCAUUUCAGCCUUACAGCUGGAAGAUACUGCGAAGUACUUCUGUGCUCUCUGUGAACUCACAGUGGUUGAAUCUUGUGUCGCUGAAGGUGCAAUCAAAGAAGCAGAACCAGCAGUGGUGUGGAAUAAGAAAUUAGUUAUAAAGAUUAGAACUCAGACAAUAGAAUAUGAAGAAGAAAAAGGCUUUGUUUAUCCAGUGGUCGCCUAUAACGGGCAUUCUAGAUUAAGUACAUUUUUGUGGCAAAGUUCCAAGUGA